AUUGAACGCUGGCGGCAGGCUUAACACAUGCAAGUCGAACGAUGAAGGUCUAGCUUGCUAGACUGGAUUAGUGGCGGACGGGUGAGUAACACUUAGGAAUCUACCUUUUAGCGGGGGAUAGCUCGGGGAAACUCGAAUUAAUACCGCAUAAUUUCUACGGAAUAAAGAGGGCUUUUAGCUCUCACUAGAAGAUGAGCCUAAGUAAGAUUAGCUAGUUGGUGGGGUAAAGGCCUACCAAGGCGACGAUCUUUAGCUGGUCUGAGAGGAUGAUCAGCCACACUGGGACUGAGACACGGCCCAGACUCCUACGGGAGGCAGCAGUGGGGAAUAUUGGACAAUGGGGGCAACCCUGAUCCAGCCAUGCCGCGUGUGUGAAGAAGGCCUUUUGGUUGUAAAGCACUUUAAGCAGUGAAGAAGACCUAUUGGUUAAUACCCAAUAGCAAUGACAUUAACUGCAGAAUAAGCACCGGCUAACUCUGUGCCAGCAGCCGCGGUAAUACAGAGGGUGCAAGCGUUAAUCGGAAUUACUGGGCGUAAAGCGAGCGUAGGUGGUUAAAUAAGUCAGAUGUGAAAGCCCUGGGCUCAACCUAGGAACGGCAUCUGAAACUAUUUAACUAGAGUAGGUGAGAGGGAAGUAGAAUUUCAGGUGUAGCGGUGAAAUGCGUAGAGAUCUGAAGGAAUACCGAUGGCGAAGGCAGCUUCCUGGCAUCAUACUGACACUGAGGCUCGAAAGCGUGGGUAGCAAACAGG
rnacentral:rRNA from 1 species